AUAAAAUGCCACGUAAUCUGAUUAACUUGUGAGAGUUUAAAAAAUCUCCUCCAGCAAAGUUAAACUAUCUCAAAAAGCAAAAGAAUAAAAUACCAAACAACUUUAUUACAAACACAAUAUUUUCUCACACUCAAAUUUCAAAUCUGAUCCACAGAAUUGCAAAAUCUCUGUGGGGUUGACAAACUUUGUGCUAUUAUCACAAAGUUUUCUGGUACCUUCUACAUCUAAUCACCUCAACAAUGGGUGCUUUUCUUUUUUUUCAACUGUACAAAUCACAUUGUAAAUUAAUUAAAAGCUACUAAUAUUCAGAGCUUGAUGAUCUACUCCAUCUUUUUCUCAAAUAUUCAUCUACUGAUGAAAGAGGACUACUUUGGUCUUGACUAUUGCUGAAACAUGUCGAAUUGUCAUAAUUAACAUCAAGAAAUGCAAGACUUAAAUGAGACUCUGCACUUGAAUCUGGAUAUACUUCAUCAUCAUUAUAUUCUUCCGUAAUGUUGUUUCUAGCAAUUACUUCUUCAUUCCCAUCUUUCUCCCCCUUCAGCAUCUUUAGGAUCUGGCUUAUGUUAGGACGUAGUCGUGCUGCCUGUGUAAGACAGAGUCUUGCUGCAAGAAUCAUUCUUUGGACUUGAUCAUCUUCAAUAUUUACAUUCAAGUUCUCAUCCAGAAUGGCAUUGUAAUUCCUGCUUUCUAACUUAGGUUUUGCCCACAUAACCAAACUUUCUUGACCACUGGGAGUCUCAAAGCCAAUAGCUUUUCUCCCUGAUAAUAGUUCCAGCAAAACCACUCCAAAGGAGUAGACAUCAAUCUUAUCGCUAACUUUCCCAUACAUAAAAUACUCUGGUGCUAGAUAACCAAAUGUUCCUACCACAUCACUAUGAGUCAAGAACGACGCCUUUGUGGGUCCCCAUAUCGCUAACCCAAAAUCGGAUAGCUGUGGUUCAAAAUCAUCAUUCAGAAGAAUGUUUGAUGACUUGACAUCUCUGUGAAUAACGGGCCUUCGACAUUCAUUGUGUAGGUAAUUUAAAGCUUCUGCGGUUCCAACCGCUAUUCUGAAUCUUCUUUCCCAUGGCAAUACUGAUUUAGUUCUUCCAUGUAUAUUUUCUUCUAAAUUCCCUUUUGAAUGAAAAUCGUAAACAGAUAUCAGAUCAGAAUCCUGUAUGCAAAUUCCAAGUACAUGAGCAAUAUUCUUGUGCUCCACUCUGGUCAUAAUGUCCAUUUCCUGCCUGAAAUUCUUCCUUGCUUCAUCUGAUGAAUUCAAAACCUUCACCGCCACUGAUUUUCCAUCAGGAAGAACCGCUUUGUAUACACUGUUCUCCCCACCUUUGCCGAUCAACUUCUCCGAGGAGAAGUUAGAAGUCGAUGAUCUUAUAACAUCAUAGCUAAACCAUUUGCAGCCAAAAUAAUCUUUUAUCAGCUGGCUACCAACUGAUGCACUUUCCUUUUCGAUGAAAUCCAUGAGGGAGUAACUAUUUUCCAUUCCAAAAGCAUUUUGGUUCUCUUCUGGAGAAGAAUUUGAUUUAGGACUAUCUAACAUAGAUCGGUUUGGCAAGGUCAUCACCCACUGCACUACCGACAUCUUUCUUUUUACUUUAGCAGGUUCAUUCAACGAACUUGUAGUUUGUAAAAGGGGCCAACCAGGAGUAGUAGUAGUAACAGCAGCACAAUCUUCGGUAGGAAGAGAAAUUGAACCUAGUGAAAGAGAACCUUUCUUGUGUUUUCCUGAAGUACUUGUAUUUUCCUCUUUUAUGUUGUGUGUACCAUUUGUCCAUCUCUCCAAAGUUCUAGUCACUUCACAACUGAACCUUCCAAAUUCGGAUAUCUCCAAUUCACCAAAUUCAGACUCGCAAUCCUUUGAAGUAGAAAUUCUUUCUAGAUAAAGACUUGGUUUUGGAUCACUAAAAGAACCUUUGAGUUGGGAAGUAGAGGUUCUUCUAAACAAAACUUUCCCAUUGUCAACUGCCAUAACUUCAGUAGUGGUAGGCAGCUUCUUCGCACAAUAUUUAGCAAUUGAGGUCCAGCCCCCAAGAGUACUAUGCUUGCAAUUUCCUACUAUUACAGCUAAUGCAUCAUGGUUCUUUGCUUCCCUCACCAAAACUCUUCUAAUAGAACUUCCUUCUGUCACCAAAGAAAUAAGAUCAACCUGCUUUUUAUUACACAAGCCAUCGUAAUCAUAAAGAUAAGUGUCCAACGAUGAUUUAACGUUUGCAAUUGAUUCGGCAUUUCGACAAACAUGUAGAGCAAUUACUCUAUCUCCAGGUUCUGCAACUUUUACAAUAGCCCAAUUCAACAACUCUCUAAUAUGUCCAUCAAAUCGGAUUCCCACAAUAACAUUUCUCUGUUCUGAUUCUAAUAUCUUUGCAAAUAUCAUCUUCUCUUCCUAAAAUUUAACAACCAAAAAG
rnacentral:misc_RNA from 1 species